rnacentral:sRNA from 1 species
CUGCGCCCCGCGGAGCUCCGAACACGUGCGCAGAGGCCGGCUGUGGCAGAUGCAACUGCAGGAUGACUUGAAAGUAGGGCAUCCUUCACCCAUCUGAAGGGAGGAAAUAGUGGCAGGUGACAGUCUGCAUGUGCAGUUUUCAGAUGCCUUCACCUGAAUGACAUCUACCUCCAUCAGGACCCCAGAUGUCUGAUAGCCCUGUGUGACACCAAGAUAAGUAAUGUGUGUAGUCUUCUUGUCAUGUAGGUCCCAAUUAAACUACUAUAGCUCACAUGGGGGUAGGGGACUUAAAAUUAUGAUUUGAAAAAUUAUGUAGAGUAUCAGACUUUUUUUUUUUUUUUUUUUUUUGGACGGAGUCUUGCUCAGUUGCCCGGGCUGGAGUGCAGUGGCUCGAUCUCGGCUCACUGCAACCUCUGCCUCCUGGGUUCAACCGAUUCUCCUGCCUCAGCCUCCCGAGUAGCUGGGACUACAGGCACCUGCCACUAUGCCAGGCUAAUUUUUUUAUUUUAAGUAGAGACGAGGUUUCACCAUAUUUGCCAGGCUGGUGUGAAACUCCUGACCUUGUGAUUUGCCUGCCUCGGCCUCCCAAAAUGCUGGGAUUACAGGUUUUUUUGUUUGUUUUUUGAGACGGAGUCUCACUGUCGCCCAGGCUAGAGUGCAAUGGCGCUAUCUCGGCUCACUACAACC